GACGAACGCUGGCGGCGUGCUUAACACAUGCAAGUCGAACGGACAGGCCCUGCUUUUGUUGGUUUCUCGUUUGGCGCACGGGUGUGUAACACGUGAGUAUCCUGCCCUUGACUUUGGGAUAACUUCAGGAAACUGGGGCUCAUACCGGAUAUGAGCUCCUGCUGCAUGUUGUGGGUUGGAAAGUUUCGGCGGUUGGGGAUGGACUCGCUGCUUAUCAGCUUGUUGGUCGGGUAGUGGCUUACCAAGGCUUUGACGGGUAGCCGGCCUGAGAGGGUGAACGGGGACAAUGGGACUGAGAGACGGAGCAGAAGCGUAAGGGAGGCAAUAGGGGGAAAUAUGACGGAAUGGGGGGAAGUCAGAUGUAGAAACGCCGCGAGCGGGAUGACGGCCUACGGGGGGUAAACAGCUGUGGAAGGUAACGAAGAGGGAGUGACGGUAACGGGUAAAGAAGCACCGGCUAACUACGUG
rnacentral:rRNA from 1 species